GAUGAACGCUGGCGGCGUGCCUAAUACAUGCAAGUCGAGCGAACGGACGAGAAUCUUGCUUCUCUGAUGUUAGCGGCGGACGGGUGAGUAACACGUGGAUAACCUACCUAUAAGACUGGGAUAACUUCGGGAAACCGGAGCUAAUACCGGAUAAUCUUUUGAACCGCAUGGUUCAAAAGUGAAAGACGGUCUUGCUGUCACUUAUAGAUGGAUCCGCGCUGCAUUAGCUAGUUGGUAAGGUAACGGCUUACCAAGGCAACGAUGCAUAGCCGACCUGAGAGGGGGAAGGGCCACACUGGAACUGAGACACGGUACAGACUCCGACGGGAGGCAGCAGUAGGGAAUCGUCGGAGAUGGGCGAAAGCCUGAAGGAGCAACGCCGGGUGAGUGAUGAAGGUCUUCGGAUCGUAAAACUCUGUUAUUAGGGAAGAACAUAUGUGUAAGUAACUGUGCACAUCUUGACGGUACCGAAUCAGAAAGCCACGGCUAACUACGUG
rnacentral:rRNA from 1 species